rnacentral:tRNA from 1 species
UAGCUCAGCGGUUAAGAGCACUGACUGCUCUUCCAGAGGACCUGGGUUCAAUUCCCAG